AAAACUGAAUUUCUUCAGAAAACCCCAUUUCCUCAAACGCAGCUUGAAAUUAUUUUGCCUCUUUAUCACCUUAUUGGCUCAUGCUACCCUCAGCUUCAAACGCAUUUCUUACUUCACAUUACCAUCUAAGACGCUUCUGCGAAGAAAGAAAAAAUCGUUAUUUUAAGCCAGACUCACUUGCAAGCUUCGACUUUUACUCGAAGGUUUUGCAUAUUGCCACUUGCCAAAGUUUUGGUGCAUAAGGCCUCACAAUCGGUUCUCCUUUUGCAGAUAAAUUUUGCAAUGAUUUCAGUCAGAAAAGCUAGAGUUGUUUUCCCAUCAGAUGCUACAGAGUGCUUUAAAUCUCGGUGUUAAGAGUUUUAUGACAUCUUUGAAAAAUGUUGGGAGUAAAGGUUUCAUCCUCAACAAGAAUUCUCAAUCACAAACUUACAAUAGCUCUUCCCACUCACUUACAAAAAGCAAUGAAUGAUGAAGGGAACAAAGUUAACUUCUCAUCAAAAGUUUGUGUUAUAUUUAAUGCAACUAUGCCAAAAUGCCUUAUGAUAAUUGUCAUAAUGUAGAAUUGUAGUUGAUUUAGGGGAAAGUUCUUAUAAUUUAUGCGUACAAUGGAAUUUGUCAUCCAUACUCUCCUAUCUAUUCAUUUUUUAUAUAAAAUUUCUAAAAUGAGAAUUAUUAGGUUGCCAUUUCAA